GGCCAAUCACUGUGGCAACAAGUAUUGCCAGG
rnacentral:piRNA from 1 species